rnacentral:rRNA from 1 species
UAGGGAAUCUUCCACAAUGGACGCAAGUCUGAUGGAGCAACGCCGCGUGAGUGAAGAAGGUUUUCGGAUCGUAAAGCUCUGUUGUUGGUGAAGAAGGAUAGAGGCAGUAACUGGUCUUUAUUUGACGGUAAUCAACCAGAAAGUCACGACUAACUACGUGCCAGCAGCCGCGGUAAUACGUAGGUGGCAAGCGUUGUCCGGAUUUAUUGGGCGUAAAGCGAGCGCAGGCGGAAUGAUAAGUCUGAUGUGAAAGCCCACGGCUCAACCGUGGAACUGCAUCGGAAACUGUCAUUCUUGAGUGCAGAAGAGGAGAGUGGAAUUCCAUGUGUAGCGGUGGAAUGCGUAGAUAUAUGGAAGAACACCAGUGGCGAAGGCGGCUCUCUGGUCUGCAACUGACGCUGAGGCUCGAAAGCAUGGGUAGCGAACAGG